UACAUGGGGGUGCAAACGUUGCUCGGAAUUAUUGGGCGUAAAGCGCACGUAGGCGGUUUGUUAAGUCGGAUGUGAAAUCCCUCGGCUCAACUGAGGAAGUGCAUCCGAAACUGGCAGGCUUGAGUACUAAAGAGGGUCGCGGAAUUCCCGGUGUAGAGGUGAAAAUUCGUAGAUAUCGGGAGGAACACCGGUGGCGAAGGCGGCGACCUGGGUAGAUACUGACGCUGAGGUGCGAAAGCGUGGGGAGCAAACAGG
rnacentral:rRNA from 1 species